ensembl:snRNA U6 U6 spliceosomal RNA
GUACUUGCUUCAGCAGCACAUAUAUUUUUAAAAAGUGGAACCAUACAGAGAAGAUUAGCAUGAUCCUUGCACCAGAAUGACACAGAUUUAUGAAGCAUCCCAUUAAA